UACCAGCACCCCGAGUGGUCGGGACGAUUAUUGGGCCUAAAGCAUCCGUAGCCGGUUCUACAAGUCUUCCGUUAAAUCCACCUGCUCAACAGUUGGGCUGCGGAGGAUACUAUAGAGCUAGGAGGCGGGAGAGGCAAGCGGUACUUAGUGGGUAGGGGUAAAAUUCGUUGAUCCAUUGAAGACCACCAGUGGCGAAGGCGGCUUGCCAGAACGCACUCGACGGUGAGGGAUGAAAGCUGGGGGAGCAAACCGG
rnacentral:rRNA from 1 species